rnacentral:rRNA from 1 species
GUAGGUGGCAAGCGUUAUCCGGAAUUAUUGGGCGUAAAGCGCGCGUAGGCGGUUUUUAAGUCUGAUGUGAAAGCCCACGGCUCAACCGUGGAGGGUCAUUGGAAACUGGAAAACUUGAGUGCAGAAGAGGAAAGUGGAAUUCCAUGUGUAGCGGUGAAAUGCGCAGAGAUAUGGAGGAACACCAGUGGCGAAGGCGACUUUCUGGUCUGUAACUGACGCUGAUGUGCGAAAGCGUGGGGAUCAAACAGGAUUAGAUACCCUGGUAGUCCACGCCGUAAACGAUGAGUGCUAAGUGUUAGGGGGGUUUCCGCCCCCCUUAGUGCUGCAGCUAACGCAUUAAGCACUCCGCCUGGGAGUACGACCGCAAGGUUG